GGAUCUUCUGCUGUCUACAUCACUGUCUGUGCCUACUGUUAAUAACCAUUUACACGAGCUCUAAAAUCAUGCAGUUCAACAAAAAGAUUUUAUCAUCAUCAAGCAUGGUCUCAAGUGCAGGCAAUCCCCACACUUUCACUGCUGUUACUGUACAUCAACAGUAAUCAGAUGUGAUGGUAUCAAUACACAUUUUAAAAUGUGUAAAAAUCCAGCCUCUGGACAACCUCCCAUUGGCUGCAGCACCACCUUCGUCUCCAGCAUCAGCAUCCCCACCUUCAUUUCGCUCGGACAUUGGAACAUGUCUGUACUGAUUUUGAGGGUGCCCCUCUACAGCUAAGAGGAAUUGAUUGUGGGGUAUUUUUUAGUUGAUGUCAAGUCCCACAACUACUCACCCAGAAAGGAACAUAUGCAGAUAACAUGAAAUUCACUCCACCUGAGUCAGAUGUCAUGGAGAUCACCCAGACACCAGAAGUUGUUUGUAGAGGGAAUGUUUAUGUGCUGAUUGACUUGUUUAACUUGUUAAUGUGUGUAUUAACCUUUCCUGUUUCAUGAAUUUGUUUAUGAGCUGCACAUCAUUAUUAAUUAUAUUAUUAUUGGAAUUCUUAUAUAGGACACAGGACUUAGGGGUGAUGAGAAACAUUCAGCUGACCUGUGAGUGGGUAAAGGAGACCACUUGCUGUGAAGAUGAGCUGGAAAAGAUCUAAAGGAUGAUGCCCUGUUGUCUAUAACAAUGUGGGACUUGUUUAUAAACACCGUGUUUUAUGAGGGUGAAAGGAAUGAAGAAGAAAUUUCGACUCCCUUCCCUUUUAUAUUUUAGAGAA